CGUGUAGGCGGCGGAAUAAGUCAGAUGUGAAAUCCCCCGGCUUAACCGGGGAACGGCAUUUGAAACUGUUUUGCUUGAGUGCGAGAGGGGGUAGUGGAAUUCCCAGUGUAGCGGUGAAAUGCGUAGAUAUUGGGAAGAACACCAGUAGCGAAGGCGGCUACCUGGCUCGCAACUGACGCUAAGGCGCGAAAGCGUGGGGAGCAAACA
rnacentral:rRNA from 1 species